rnacentral:rRNA from 1 species
GUGUGCCUACGGGACGCAGCAGUGGGGAAUAUUGCACAAUGGGGGAAACCCUGAUGCAGCAACGCCGCGUGAGUGAUGACGGCCUUCGGGUUGUAAAGCUCUGUCUUCAGGGACGAUAAUGACGGUACCUGAGGAGGAAGCCACGGCUAACUACGUGCCAGCAGCCGCGGUAAUACGUAGGAUCCGAGCGUUAUCCGGAUUCAUUGGGUUUAAAGGGGGCGUAGGUUGUUUUAUAAGUUAGC